rnacentral:lncRNA from 1 species
CGCAGCAAGGGCCAGACUCUGCGCUAGCAGGCGCUGCGCGCCAACCGGCCGGCACCUGUCGCAGAAGGUGCAACCGAUCGCACUGUCGCGCAGAAGCUCCUCAAUGGCCAGCGCCAGCUGCAGCCCCGGCCGCCCACUCGCCUCAUCUGAGCCUGGGCAAAUCUGGAUUGGGAAAGUUGACAUUAAUCAACUCAUUAUUCCUCACAGAUUUGUAUUCUCCAGAGUAUCCAGGUCCUUCUCAGAGAAUUAAAAAGCCUGUACAGGUCUAGAUAUUGGUAUUUUUAAUUGAUGAUAAGCUGGAAUAAUAUUAAUACACACAAAGCACGUGUUGUAACUUUCAUUAUGCUUCCUUAGAGCGCUGCUCUAAGCUGUUGAUGAAAAAUAUUGUUGGUGAGCUCUGCUUAGGUAAUAUAUAGGACAUGAGCAGAGAGGAGGCACGUGAACAGUUCUGGCCUGGAGUAGGCUUCAUUGAGGCUGUGAUGCUUUUAGCUGGAUUUGAAGAAGUGGUAGUGAUCAUCCCAGUGCACAGGAUAGGUGGACAGUCUAUGUAUUCUGAGCAGUAACUCAUAUAUCUCAUACUGCAAGACCCCAAAGGAGUAAUUUUGUGAACUCUGUUCACGGAAAGGGCCUGGGAGCUGCAACACCUCAACAGCAACAAGCACACCUGCUACCUAGAACUUGGUUUCUAAAAACCAUCCUCCUCUAAAAGGAAACAGAGCUCUUUGAAGAAACGCAGAAGGUAAGCAUGAGCAAAUUACUUUUUAGAGGUAACUUUGCUGAACUUGUGAAGAAUGGUGUGCAAGGUCCAGAGCGACUGCAGGAGAGGGAAGGUGGGAUUCCCACAGAGCAGGAGCACAGAUAAGCCAAGCAAGGCCCUGCUUGGAAGGCAGCAAUCAACAGAGAUGCACAGACCUGUGAGGGUGCCGGGACAGCCAUGCAACAAUGCAGCCCUUUUGCUUCCUGAGCUCACCAGUUCCCUCGCUCCACCUCUGAGAGGUGGUUUGGAGAAACACAGCCCUUCUCAAGAGGGCUGCAAGCUACUUAAGUCCUGAAAAUUUCCACAAGGCUGAGUCAAAUCUGCGUUUCAUCAUCUAUAAGAAAGGUACCUAUCGAGAACACCCUGCUGGCCAGUGUGUAAAUAUCUAAAGGAGGACUCAGAAAACACCGGGGAAGUCCAGCCUGCACGUGGUGGCUGGGCUUCAGUGAAGCAUGCAGCACAACAGGAGUUAGCAGCCAUGCACUGCCCAGGCUGGAAGUAUGCUCAACCACAAGGGUCAGGGCUGGGAGAGGCGCUUCGGUAGC